rnacentral:lncRNA from 1 species
UAGUGUUCACCAAUGUCUGGUUCUUUUCUCAUUCUAAUUCUCUACCAGUAUGCAAUUGGGUGAAGUCAUGAGACUAGGUCUGGUCAAUGGCUGUGGUCAGAUAUGACAGGACAUUGCUGGACAGAAGUAUCAAAGAGCUGGUCAAUAUCUCUCUAGCUGUCUCUUCUAUCAUAUUGACUGAGCAGAGUAGAUAUUCCAGAUGAUAUAGGUGGAGGAUGGUAGAACCUUCCUCAGCCCAGAUGACUGCCUUAAUAAGCAGAAGGCAGUUACCCUUCAGUGGAGGAUCCUUGAGAGAUUUAAGCCCUGAUUUGGGUAAACAAAUGUUCUCACCUGUGUGUCUAAAAUAAUAGUAUGUAACAUCCUUUGGGAAAAUAAAAGGUGAAUUGGCCAGACUUUCAAGGGACUUUCCCUGAAUGAGAAAUAAACUAUUGAGUUAAGCCACUAAGAUGUUGGAAUUUUUUUUUCUACUGCCAAAUAAUCAUGACUAUCCUAAUAUUGUUGCUUUAGGACAAUUUUACCUUGAAUAACCAUGUCAAAUUGUCUCAGCAUGAGGAAUCCCAAACCAAAUUCUUCUCUCAAAUGCAGAUACUCAGGUUCUGAUAAAGCUCACAGUGCCAACCUCACGCCUACCUGCUACGCUGAAUCUUUUCUGCCUUGUGACUUGACCUUCACAUUGCUACUGGAAGGUGACAUUGCUGUAACUCCCCACAUUGUUGUCACUCCUUCUAUUAGUCCAACACUCAUUGAGAUAAAGGAGGCCCCUUAACUCUGUAGUAUUACCAAAGUCUGCUAAGAAAAUAUAACUCAACACUUUGAACUAGCUCACAAAGUAGAAGUAUCCUUAAUGUCUUUUCAUUAGCAAUGACCUACUGAUCUUAAGACUGGAGAUACGGCUUAAUUGUGAUAUCCACUGGAUUAUGUGCCAUAGAUUUCUGGUAACAUAUAGUGACUCAGUCCAGAUAUUCUCCAAGACCAUGGCAGAACUGAACUUGCACCAGUGGACCCAGGUAUGAGAAUAAGACUUGGAGGUUAGGCAGAAAACAGCUGCGGGAGAACCAAAGUGGGAAGAAAGAUGAGGUAUACUAUUUUAAGCAUAACAUGUUUAAAAUGGCUGUAAUGGACAUAAAACUGAAAAUACUAGUCAAUGAUUUAGAAAAGAAAAAUAACCCAUACAUUUAGCAGCCAGCAACAUAAGUGAACCUGUGGGAAUAUAAAUAUUAUAAAACUCUGCAUAUCUAAUUGAUUACAAAGAACUUACCUAUCUGAAAGCAUGGUUAACUACAUACCAGAAAAGCUUUUCUGCUAUAAAACAUCUAGGAGUAUUGAAUGAUAGUAAUUAUCUUGGAAAACAUAUAGCUGAGUAUGCAAGUAAACAG